rnacentral:rRNA from 1 species
AUUGAACGCUGGCGGCAGGCCUAACACAUGCAAGUCGAGCGAGCGGCGGACGGGUGAGUGAUGUCUGGGAAACCGCCUGAUGGAUGGGGAUAACUACUGGAAACGGUAGCUAAUACCGCACACCAUCCGAUGUGCCCAGAUGGGAUUAGCUAGUGGGUGGGGUAAAGGCUCACCUAGGCGACGAUCCCUAGCUGGUCUGAGAGGAUGACCCGCCACACUGGGACUGAGACACGGUCCAGACUCCUACGGGAGGCAGCAGUGGGGAAUAUUGGGCAAUGGGCGAAAGCCUGAUGCAGCCAUGCCGCGUGUGUGAAGAAGGUCUUCGGGUUGUAAAGCACUUUCGGCGGGGAGGCGGUACCCGCAGAAGAAGCACCGGCUAACUCCGUGCCAGCAGCCGCGGUAAUUC